rnacentral:tRNA from 2 species
GUCCUCGUAGUUUAAUGGAUAAAACACGGGCCUCCGAAGCCCGGGAUAGGGGUUCGAUUCCCCUCGGGGACACCA